rnacentral:rRNA from 1 species
GAUCCUGGCUUAGGAUGAACGCUAGCGACAGGCUAACACAUGCAAGUCGAGGGGCAGCAUAAAAGUAGCAAUACUUGGUGGCGACCGGCGCACGGGUGAGUAACGCGUAUGCAACCUACCUAUCAGAGGGGAAUAACCCGGCGAAAGUCGGACUAAUACCGCAUAAAACAGGGGCACCGCAUGGUGAUAUUUGUUAAAGAAAUUCGCUGAUAGAUGGGCAUGCGUUCCAUUAGGUAGUUGGUGAGGUAACGGCUCACCAAGCCGACGAUGGAUAGGGGAACUGAGAGGUUGGUCCCCCACACUGGUACUGAGACACGGACCAGACUCCUACGGGAGGCAGCAGUGAGGAAUAUUGGUCAAUGGGCGGGAGCCUGAACCAGCCAAGUCGCGUGAAAGGAAGAAGGAUCUAUGGUUCGUAAACUUCUUUUGCAGGGGAAUAAAGUGCAGGACGUGUCCUGUUUUGUAUGUACCCUGAGAAUAAGGAUCGGCUAACUCCGUGCCAGCCGCAGC